CUUUCUUUUGACUGUACCGUGUGAAUUUUGGUAUGAGCCAACGAGGACUGAGUGAGUAAAAAGUUAAAGCGAUUCAGAGCGCCAAGAAAGUAGACCGAUCAUGGCUCCCACUUCAGAGACGGAGUGAAAAUCGAACGCGAAACUGAGUUUCUUCUUCCAAGAUCGGUUGUGGCUGAUCGUUGAAUUGAGGAGUUUUUAGUGUAUUAGGGUUUGUUUUCCUUUCCAAUUCGGACUCCGAAAUGGCGAGUCCGCAGUCGGCUGGACUUACUUUGAGUUCCGGUAAGGGUUUGUCUUUGACUCCAGGGUCUAGGGUUUUGCAAACCCCACUUGCCGAUGAAGCUAUAUGGAGGCGUCUGAAAGAAGCUGGUUUCGACGAGGAAUCAAUUAAACGUAGGGAUAAAGCUGCGCUUAUAGCUUAUAUAGCGAAGCUCGAAGCUGAGAUGUUUGACCACCAACACCAUAUGGGCCUUCUCAUACUAGAAAGGAAGGAGUUGGCUUCAGAUUACGAGCAGAUGAAAAGUAAAGCUGAGACAGCUGAAUUAAUGUAUAGGCGUGACCAAGCUGCUCAUUUGUCAGCUUUAACUGAAGCAAAGAAACGGGAGGACAAUUUGAAGAAGGCUAUUGGUAUCAAAGAAGAAUGUGUAGCAAGUCUUGAGAAGGCUUUGCACGAAAUGCGUCUAGAAUCUGCUGAAAUCAAGGUUGCAGCUGAAAGUAGACUGGCUGAAGCACGCAUUAUGAUGGAGGAUGCUCAGAAGAAAUUUGUUGAGGCCGAAGCCAAACUACAUGCAGCAGAAUCUUUACAAGCGGAAUCUAACCGGUGUAAUCGUGCUGCAGAAAGAAAGCUCCAUGAAGUUGAGGCACGGGAAGAUGAUCUAAGGAGGCGUAUGGCUUGUUUCAAGUCUGAUUGUGAUAAGAAAGGGGAGGAGAUUGUGCUUGAGAGGCAAUCUUUAAGUGAAAGACAGAAAGCAUUGCAGCAGGAGCAUGAGAGAUUACUUGAUGGACAAGCUUUGCUUAAUCAGCGGGAGGAGUAUAUAUUAAGCAAGACUCAAGAGCUAAGUCGAUCUGAAAAAGAGUUGGAGGAGUUAAGAGCUAGCAUUGAGAAUGAGCGCAGAGCAGUUCAUGAUGAGAAGUCCAAGAUGCAACUUUAUGAAGCGUCUUUAUCAAAGAGAGAAGAGGCUGUCAAUAGAAUGGAAAUUAUGAUGAACAGGAGACAGCAAGAGCUACUUGUUUUAGAGGAAAAAAUUGCAACAAAAGAAACCAAUGAAAUUCAAAAAGUUGUUGCGAACCAUGAAAGUACUUUGAGAACAAAGAUAUCAGACUUUGAUGCUGAGCUGCAAAUUAAGCAAAAAGCAGUUGAAGAUGAAAUUGAAAGCAAAAGACGUGCCUGGGAGUUGAGAGAGAUGGACCUUAAACAGCGGGAUGAGCAAAUCUUGGAAAAGGAAUAUGACUUGGAGGUUCAAUCUAGAUCGUUGGUAGCAAAGGAGAAAGAGGUAGAAGAAUUAUCCAAGUCUCUUGAUGAGAAAGAGAAGAACCUGAAGGCUCUUGAACAAGAGCUUGAACUUAGUAAAGUACUCCUGCAGAAAGAGAAAGACGAGUGCUCUAAAAUGAAACGAGAUCUUCAGUGCUCCCUUGAUUCUCUCGAAGACAGAAGAAAACAAGUUGAUUGUGCAAAGGACAAGCUUGAAGCCUUUAGGAGUGAAACAAAUGAAUUAUCCCUACUAGAGAUGAAGCUUAAAGAAGAACUUGAUUCAGUUAGAGUCCAGAAAUUGGAAUUGAUGGAUGAGGCAGAUAAGUUGAUGGUUGAGAAGGCCAAAUUUGAAGCUGAGUGGGAAAUGAUUGAUGAAAAAAGAGAGGAGCUGCGCACUGAAGCUGAAAUUCUAGCUGCAGAGCGGUUAGCUGUGUCCAAGUUUAUCAAAGAUGAACGUGAUGGUCUUAGAUUGGAGAGGGAGGUAAUGCGAAAACAAUUCAAGAAUGAUAGGGAGACACUUUCUCGUGAGCGUGAGGAAUUCUUGAACAAGAUGACAUGUGAACGGUCUGAGUGGUUGAAUAAAAUGCAGCAAGAACGUAAAGACUUGCUAAUGGAUGUUGAGGCACAGAAGAAGGAGCUUGAGAAUUGUCUUGAGCAGAGGCGUGAAGAAUUAGAAGGCCAGUUGAGGGAAAAACUAAAGAACUUUGAGCAAGAAAAGAAGAACGAACUGGAUAAAAUUAACUUCCUUAAAGACAAAGCAACUAAGGAUUUGGAAGAGGUUGCAUUGGAAACAAAAAAACUUGAAACUGAGAGAAUGGAAAUUAAUUUAGAUCGUGAAAGAAGAAACAGAGAAUGGGCCGAACUGAACAAUUCCAUCGAGGAACUCAAGGUUCAAAGGGAGAAACUAGAAAAACAGAGAGAGUUAUUGCAUGCUGACAGGGAGGAAAUUCUUGCUGAUAUUGAACGUUUAAAGAAAUUUGAAAAUCUGAAAGUUGCAUUGGACAAUAUGGCUGUGGCUGAGAUGAACCAAUCUGAUUUAGACGUUGCUCAGCCAAUAAGUUAUCCAAGAAGGCGGCCACUUGUUAGAGAUGCUGAGCACCAGAUAGAUACUCAAAAGAUUACUAAUGGCUUUGACUCCCCAUCUGUUCUUAAAGUAGAUGGUGAUUUACCUCCUACUUCUACUCGUUUCUCAUGGAUUAAACGUUGCUCUGAGUUGAUAUUCAAGCAAUCUCCGGAGAGAGAGAGGGCGCCUACAAGAUAUCCUGUUAAAAAUCCAAUCAAUCAGGCUGACCAAUCAAGCUCAAUAUCUGGACAGCUCUUUCAGUCUCCUGAGUUUGAAAUGGAUAGGGGUAAUGAGAAGUCUCAAAGAACUAUUACUGAAAGGCAGGAUGUGAAAUAUGCAAUUGGAGAACCGAAAGUAAUUGUUGAAGUACCGCCAGCAAACAAGAACAUGAAUGGAGUACCUGUUCUUGAAUCUGAGAUUGUCGAUGAUGUUACAUUGUCUGAUCAUAGGGUUUUGACUGGAAAGAAAAGGAGAGCUACCAACAUUACUCAUCCUGAUUCCUUAGGACAACUGGAGUUUGAAAAUAACAAUAAGAAGCAGAGACAAGAAGAAAUAUCUGGGGAUCCUACAGAGGAUGAUUCUAGUUGCCCUGAAGAAGCAACCCAAAUGAACAUGCCUGAGGAUCCUAAGGCAUUUGUGUCAUCCACAGAUAACCAGGAAAAUGCCAAGGAGGCUGAAGUUGUUAUUGUAAGUACAGACAUCAACAUCAUUGAAGUUACAACCUAUAAACAGAAGAACUCUGACAUGUCAUCUGACCAUCAGGAAACUAUUUCAGAAAAGUGUUGAUAUCUAUGUAAUGGUUCAGCAUCUACGCUUAGGAUAUGUUGAACAAUCUGCUGUUUGCUGUCAGGUAUUACAUCUCCUCGAGAGUUAAGAGAAUUGUGCAGAGAGUCCUAAGAAGAAGCGAAAGAAAAAUUCUUGACAUUUUGAGAAAGGAAUGUGUGAAGCAGUUAUUCGAGAAUAUAUAUGUUUUUAUUGUUUGCUUUGGUCUUCUUGUGGCGAUGAAUCAAACCAAUUUUUGGCGGAGCUUGUGUUGAAGUGUCGUGGCUUCACCCAUCCUCCAAGGCAUAGAUAUAGAGGAGCUUUAAUUUCUAGCAUGUUAAUAUCAUCUAAAUUGCUCCAAUUUAAGAUGUCAAUACACAUAGAGUUUGAUAGUAUAAAAGGGAUUUGAAUAUCAUUUCAUGUUUUAGUAGCCAUGCCUUGAAGGUAAGGGGGUUGUUGAUCUUUGGGUGGUGUGUAUAUGAUUCUUUUGUUGACUCUGUGUUUGUUAAAGGAAUGGGUUUGUAAAAUGUUCUCUUUGCUUUUUAUGGAUGCGCUUAAAAUAUUUUAGUUGAAUCCUCAGAUUUA